AUCGCUUCUCAGCCUUUCGACGAAGAUCAAGUGGAGCAUCUCUCCACAUAUUGCUAAUUUAAAACCUAAUCCUGCCUCUUUCCAA
rnacentral:snRNA from 1 species